ACACACACACACACACACACAAAUAAUUUGUCAUGAAGUGCGUUCCAACUUCAUGACAAAUUAUUUGUGUGUGUGUGUGUAGGUGU